rnacentral:rRNA from 1 species
AAAUUGAAGAGUUUGAUCAUGGCUCAGAUUGAACGCUGGCGGCAGGCCUAACACAUGCAAGUCGAGCGGAAACGAGUUAUCAGAACCUUCGGGGGACGAUAACGGCGUCGAGCGGCGGACGGGUGAGUAAUG